rnacentral:rRNA from 1 species
CCUACGGGGCGCAGCAGUGGGGAAUAUUGGGCAAUGGGCGCAAGCCUGACCCAGCAAUGCCGCGUGAAGGAAGAAGGCUUUCGGGUUGUAAACUUCUUUGACAGGGGAAGAGCAGAAGACGGUACCCUGAAAACAAGCCACGCCUAACUACGUGCCAGCAGCCGCGGUAAUACGUAGGUGGCAAGCGUUGUCCGGAUUUACUGGGUGUCAAGGGCGUGUAGCCGGGAAGGCAAGUCAGUUGUGAAAUCUGGGGGCUCAACGUCCAAAUUGCAGUUGAAACUGUUAUUCGUGAGUACUGGAGAGGCAGGCGGAAUUCCGGGUGUAGCGGUGAAAUGCGUAGAUAUAAGGAGGAACACCAGUGGCGAAGGCGGUCUGCUGGACAGCAACUGACGGUGAGGCGCGAAAGCGUGGGGAGCAAACAGGAUUAGAUACCCCUGUAGUC